CGAGCGGACAGAUGGGAGCUUGCUCCCUGAUGUUAGCGGCGGACGGGUGAGUAACACGUGGGUAACCUGCCUGUAAGACUGGGAUAACUCCGGGAAACCGGGGCUAAUACCGGAUGCUUGUUUGAACCGCAUGGUUCAAACAUAAAAGGUGGCUUCGGCUACCACUUACAGAUGGACCCGCGGCGCAUUAGCUAGUUGGUGAGGUAACGGCUCACCAAGGCAACGAUGCGUAGCCGACCUGAGAGGGUGAUCGGCCACACUGGGACUGAGACACGGCCCAGACUCCUACGGGAGGCAGCAGUAGGGAAUCUUCCGCAAUGGACGAAAGUCUGACGGAGCAACGCCGCGUGAGUGAUGAAGGUUUUCGGAUCGUAAAGCUCUGUUGUUAGGGAAGAACAAGUACCGUUCGAAUAGGGCGGUACCUUGACGGUACCUAACCAGAAAGCCACGGCUAACUACGUGCCAGCAGCCGCGGUAAUACGUAGGUGGCAAGCGUUGUCCGGAAUUAUUGGGCGUAAAGGGCUCGCAGGCGGUUUCUUAAGUCUGAUGUGAAAGCCCCCGGCUCAACCGGGGAGGGUCAUUGGAAACUGGGGAACUUGAGUGCAGAAGAGGAGAGUGGAAUUCCACGUGUAGCGGUGAAAUGCGUAGAGAUGUGGAGGAACACCAGUGGCGAAGGCGACUCUCUGGUCUGUAACUGACGCUGAGGAGCGAAAGCGUGGGGAGCGAACAGGAUUAGAUACCCUGGUAGUCCACGCCGUAAACGAUGAGUGCUAAGUGUUAAGGGGGUUUCCGCCCCCUUAGUGCUGCAGCUAACGCAUUAAGCACUCCGCCUGGGGGAGUACGGUCGCAAGACUGAAACUCAUAGGAAUUGACGGGGGCCCGCACAAGCGGUGGAGCAUGUGGUUUUAAUUCGAAGCAACGCGAAGAAACUUUACCAGGUCUUGACAUCCUCUGACAAUCCUAGAAGAUAGGACGUCCCCCUUCGGGGGGCAGAGUGAACAGGUGGUUGCAUGGGUUGUUCGUCACCUCCUGUCCUGGAGAAGGUU
rnacentral:rRNA from 1 species